rnacentral:lncRNA from 1 species
AAGAGCAAGACUUCAGAGUUUCCCAUAGUCUGUAAGAAACUGCCGUGACUGCCUCAACCUUUUCUUUUCUAGAGGUGCUAGAAGUUACACCCAAAAUAUCACAUGAUGCCAUUUACCUGUUUCUUAUGAAUGAAGUCUUCUACUGUUGUAAGAGGUCUUCAGAGUGAAGUGGAGAUUGAGACACCAGGAGGAGACUCAUUCAGUAAUGGCACUGGGCUCCUGUGGCAAAACCCCAACAUCACUCCUCUGUCUGACAUCACUAGUGACAAGAGAGAUCUGUUAGCUGGAGGCUGCACAAUCUCCAGAGUGGCUUGCAUACAGUCCCGAGGGCCAGCUGGAUGA